rnacentral:rRNA from 1 species
UUGAUCCUGGCUCAGAUUGAACGCUGGCGGUAUGCUUAACACAUGCAAGUCGAACGGAAACGAUACUAGCUUGCUAGUAGGCGUCGAGUGGCGGACGGGUGAGUAACGCGUAGGAAUCUGCCUGAUAGUGGGGGAUAGCCCGGAGAAAUUCGGAUUAAUACCGCAUAAUCUAUUCGUAGUAAAGUGGGGGACUUUCGAGCCUCACGCUAUCAGAUGAGCCUGCGUAAGAUUAGCUUGUUGGUAGGGUAAAAGCCUACCAAGGCGACGAUCUUUAGCUGGUCUGAGAGGAUGAUCAGCCACAUCGGGACUGAGACACGGCCCGAACUCCUACGGGAGGCAGCAGUGGGGAAUAUUGGACAAUGGGGGCAACCCUGAUCCAGCAAUACCGCGUGUGUGAAGAAGGCCUGAGGGUUGUAAAGCACUUUCAAUUGUGAAGAAAAGUUAACGGUUAAUAACCGUUAGCCUUGACGUUAACUUUAGAAGAAGCACCGGCUAACUCCGUGCCAGCAGCCGCGGUAAUACGGAGGGUGCAAGCGUUAAUCGGAAUUACUGGGCGUAAAGCGUGCGUAGGCGGUUUAUUAAGUCAGAUGUGAAAGCCCCGGGCUUAACCUGGGAACUGCAUUUGAAACUGGUAAACUAGAGUAUGGUAGAGGAAAGUGGAAUUUCUGGUGUAGCGGUGAAAUGCGUAGAUAUCAGAAGGAACAUCAAUGGCGAAGGCAGCUUUCUGGACCAAUACUGACGCUGAGGUACGAAAGCGUGGGUAGCAAACAGGAUUAGAUACCCUGGUAGUCCACGCCGUAAACGAUGAUAACUAGCCGUUGGGGGGAUUUACCCUUUAGUGGCGAAGCUAACGCGUUAAGUUAUCCGCCUGGGGAGUACGGCCGCAAGGUUAAAACUCAAAGGAAUUGACGGGGACCCGCACAAGCGGUGGAGCAUGUGGUUUAAUUCGAUGCAACGCGAAGAACCUUACCUGGUCUUGACAUCCUGCGAACUUUCUAGAAAUAGAUUGGUGCCUUCGGGAACGCAGUGACAGGUGCUGCAUGGCUGUCGUCAGCUCGUGUCGUGAGAUGUUGGGUUAAGUCCCGUAACGAGCGCAACCCCUAUCCUUAUUUGCCAGCACAUUAUGGUGGGAACUAUAAGGAGACUGCCGGUGAUAAACCGGAGGAAGGCGGGGACGACGUCAAGUCAUCAUGGCCCUUACGACCAGGGCUACACACGUGCUACAAUGGGAAGGACAAAGAGCCGCGAAGCCGCGAGGUGUAGCUAAUCUCAUAAACCUUUUCGUAGUCCGGAUUGGAGUCUGCAACUCGACUCCAUGAAGUCGGAAUCGCUAGUAAUCGUAGAUCAGAAUGCUACGGUGAAUACGUUCCCGGGUCUUGUACACACCGCCCGUCAUACCAUGGGAGUGGGUUGCACCAGAAGUGGCUAGUCUAACUUAGUGAGGACGGUCACCACGGUGUGAUUCAUGACUGGGGUAAAGUCGUAACAAGGUAGCCCUACCGGAAGGUGGGGCUG